rnacentral:sRNA from 1 species
GCCAACCUAUCUAUCGCUGCAAGCUAUCCCUCGCUGCUAAGCUAUCGCUGCCAACCUAUCUAUCGCUGUCAACCUAUCUAUCGCUGCCAAUUUAUCUACCACUGCCAAUCUAUCUAUUGCUGCUAAUCUAUUGCUGCUGCCAAUCUAUCUAUCGCUGCUAAUCUAUUGCUGCUGCUAAUCUAUCUAUCGCUGCUAAUCUAUCACUGCUAAUCUAUCGCUGCUAAUCUAUCGCUGCUAAUCUAUCGCUGCUAAUCUAUCACUGCUAAUCUAUCGCUGCUAAUCUAUCACUGCCAAUCUAUCUACCGCGGCGAAUCUAUCUAUCACUAUCAUUACUAGUUCAAAAUAGAACUAGAGCAUAAAUACACUAAACUUCUUUUGAUAGAUAAUGAUUUUUGGUAACACUCAUAGCAUUAUAUCAUCUAUAUAGGG